rnacentral:rRNA from 1 species
AGCGUGCGCAGGCGGUUUUGUAAGACUGUCGUGAAAUCCCCGGGGCUCAACCUGGGAAUGGCGAUGGUGACUGCAAGGCUAGAGUUUGGCAGAGGGGGGUAGAAUUCCACGUGUAGCAGUGAAAUGCGUAGAUAUGUGGAGGAACACCGAUGGCGAAGGCAGCCCCCUGGGUCAAAACUGACGCUCAUGCACGAAAGCGUGGGGAGCAAACAGGAUUAGAUACCCCUAGU